GUUAUUUUCAGAUGAGCGACGAGAACACUGAGACCUUUUUACGGGUCUUCGCUGCCUGGGAACACUACACACCAGUCUCGGAUAUUAAUCUUCGUCCCUCUCUGAGACGCCGUACGAAUUGCAAGUGGUUAAUUAUUAAAUGGCUGCCAGAACUCACCGCGUAAAGAACUGGGAUUACACGAGCUUCAACCACCACCACACCACCACCAUCACCCACCACCACCGUCGCCACCAACAACAUUUAACAACUAAGUAUUUAAAUGUAUGUCAGUGUAACACCCACUCGUCCGCUCAGAGUAUUUCAGGCUUCGGACAGUGUUACGUUAAUAUGUUACAAGAUAAAGUGUACAGACGCAGGAUGUAGAGAAUGUUGUUUAUAUGCCAUUAAAUAUCACGGAAACCUCA